AUUGAACGCUGGCGGCAAGCCUAACACAUGCAAGUCGAGCGAGCGGCGGACGGGUGAGUAAUGUAUGGGGAUCUGCCCGAUAGAGGGGGAUAACUACUGGAAACGGUGGCUAAUACCGCAUACUAUCGGAUGAACCCAUAUGGGAUUAGCUAGUAGGUGGGGUAAAGGCUCACCUAGGCGACGAUCCCUAGCUGGUCUGAGAGGAUGAUCAGCCACACUGGGACGGAGACACGGCCCAGACUCCUACGGGAGGCAGCAGUGGUGAAUAUUGCACAAUGGGCGAAAGCCUGAUGCAGCAAUGCCGCGUGUGUGAAGAAGGCCUUCGGGUUGUAAAAUACUUUUAUCGGAGAGGCGUUACCCACAGAGGAAGCACCGGCUAACUCCGUGCCAGCAGCCGCGGUAAUAC
rnacentral:rRNA from 1 species